rnacentral:misc_RNA from 1 species
GACAAAAGGUUUUGAAAUGCAUGUCAUAUCUUUGCCAUGCACUAACUAGAAAAACAAAGCUUUAGAUCCAACAUCCAAGUACAAAAUUGCUUUCUCAGAUCAAAAAUUGAAAAAAGAAAUUCGAGAUUUUGGGCAAACUACUAAUUCCAGACCCUAUCAGACAUAGAGUUCCUUUUGCUUCUAACUUCUUGUAGCAAAGAUUCCUGCUCAAUGCAUAUAUAGCGAGAUCUAACUGUGUUUUUCACUUGUUUUUCUGCCUCUUCCUGGAACGGUUCCUUCUCGACUCUACAGUGUUCUCCACGGGCAGAAAGUUUUCCUUAUUCUUAUACUUCUUCUCCCUAAGUUGCCUUUUCAGUCCUUUGCUUUUCUUCUUUGAUGCUGAGGGAUUCUGUUCUCUAACUGGGCUAUCCUCCACCUCAGGAUGAAUUUCUCCCUCAAUUUUUCCGUCUUCAUUAAGCAUAAGUUUAAGCCUCCCUUCUUUCAACAACUUUACAGAGCGGGCAUGCCUUUUGGAUUUAAGAUGAGCAAUUAGAGUCUGAACAGUCAAGCAGACGAUUCUAGGACACAGCCUGCACUUAUAAACUG